GCCAGGUGUGGUGGCGGGCACCUGUAAUCCCAGCUACUCGGGAGGCUGAGGCAGGAGAAUCACUUGAACCCAGGAGGCAGAGGUUGCAGUGAGCCAAGAUGGUGCCACUGCACUCUAGCCUGGGCAACAAAGUGAGACUCUGCCUCAA
rnacentral:SRP_RNA from 2 species